rnacentral:lncRNA from 1 species
AGCAUAAAAUCAAUUUUUGCUUUUAGUACUAGCCAUCAUAACAAUUUAAGAAAAAUAACUGAUAAUAUUAUCAUACAUAAAGAUUUUGAGGAAUUAGCACAAUACAUACCUCCUAGAAAAUACCAAGAACAUGAAGUCACUAUACCAGAACAAAUAAUGCUUGAUUUCCAUAAACAAGCUAGAGAAAUUAACUCUGAAGGAAAAAUAAUAAGAAGAAAUAGUGUCAGCUUAGAAGGAGAUAAUCUUAUUGCAAGAUUUCCCUCGAGACAAGACCCUAAGAUAAGCAGACUUAAGAAUCUA